ACAGAACUCUCUAGUCCAGGAGUACAUUGAGUUAUUGAACACAGCCAGCAAGGAGGAACUCGUGGCAAUAAAGGGAAUUGGACAAAAGAUGGCUGAAUACAUUAUUGAACUAAGGGAAACAAGCCCAAUGAA